rnacentral:rRNA from 1 species
UACAGAGGUCCCGAGCGUUGUUCGGAUUCACUGGGCGUAAAGGGUGCGUAGGUGGUAAGGUAAGUCGGAUGUGAAAUCUCCGAGCUCAACUCGGAAAUGGCAUUGGGAACUACCUUGCUCGAGGGUUGGAGGGGGGACUGGAAUACUUGGUGUAGCAGUGAAAUGCGUAGAUAUCAAGUGGAACACCAGUGGCGAAGGCGAGUCCCUGGACAACUCCUGACACUGAGGCGCGAAAGCGUGGGGAGCAAACAGG